AGUUCUUGCAAAACGGGCCACAAAAAAGAUGCGGUCGAAGGAGGGAGGCAGAGACGCCGUGCCUGGGGGCCCAGGGCCUGCGCCGGCCGGAGGGAGACGGAUGUGCCGCCUCCGUGCGCUCCUCGUCAGCCGGCGGCGGUUACUGCUUCCGAGGUCAAACGAACCCGGACGCGUCUAUAGGGUGCAGACCCGGCGCGCGCCUGAGGGAGCGGAAGACCAACCAGCGCCCCAGCCUGGGGGGGAAUGACUCUCCUCGGCCCUCACCCCGCGCUCCGCCAGCAUUUCUUUACGUCCGUGCUCCGCUGGCGCGCCGGGCCGAGAGCCGAAGCCGCGGGGCCUCCCUUCCGGCCGCUGUCCAGCACUCGCAGCCGGAGCCGGGGCUGCCGCGGCGCCACGACACCCGCCACCUCCCCCAGCAAGCGGCCCCGGCCUGCGGAGGACAGCAUGCGGCUUCGCUUCGUCCGGCUCUCCGAGCACGCCACCGCCCCGACCAAGGGGUCCGCGCGGGCUGCGGGCUACGACUUGUACAGUGCCUAUGAUUAUACGCUGCCACCUAUGGAGAAGGCCCUUGUGAAAACGGACAUUCAGGUAGCUCUUCCUUCUGGGUGCUAUGGAAGAGUAGCUCCCCGUUCUGGCUUGGCUGCAAAACACUUCAUCGAUGUAGGAGCUGGCGUCAUAGAUGAAGAUUAUAGAGGAAAUGUGGGUGUCGUGCUAUUUAAUUUUGGCAAAGAAAAGUUUGAAGUCAAAAAGGGAGAUCGGAUCGCACAGCUCAUUUGUGAACGGAUUUUUUAUCCAGAAAUAGAGGAAGUUCAGCCUAAAAUGAUCCCUGUGCCCAUCUCACGCGGUCUGCCAACUCUUUCACUGGAAUAUGUUAGCCAGUCUCCUUGGAAUCAUUGCCGGGUCCCCUUGGAAUGGAAAUUGUGUCAAACUCCGGGGGAGUCUGCUGAAGGUCGGGUAACCCUCUGGUGCCGUUGUCUUUCAUGUGGUAAUUCAAUGACAGAAAAUGCUCCCAUCUUUUGGUUCCGCUGUCUCAACACCAGGCCUCUUUGGAAAGCAUGGAACUCAUACAAUCCUCUUCAGUGCUUUCGCCAGGAAAUGACAUAUCACUUCUGCACACACCUACUUGAUCAGAACACAUGAUCCCAUCUAACUUGGAGAGGUCUGGGAAGUAUAGUGUUCCAUGUACCCGGAGGAAAAGGAGAAACAAAUCUUGGUCACUGGCCUGCCUGCGAUUGGGAGCGUCGCACCACUUGGAACCCCUAUGGCUUCCUGGAUCUGUCCCAGCUGAAGGUAGCAGAAUGUUCUUUCUUCAAAUUAAAUCUUACGCAGAUGUCCGGUAUCGAAAGCAGAUGAACAUGGCACUGUGGACAGGUUCCCUCAUACCGUCAUGAUCACCCUCAGGAGCCUUCAUGAACUCAAACGUGUCUCAGGACAUGGACUGGAAACCACUAACAUACAGGAUUCUGAAGGGGAAGAGGAAGCCAAAAUGUUUGCGGCUCAUUUCAACAGCUGUUUCACUCAGUAAUUAUAACUUUAUUCCCAUGA